AUUGAACGCUGGCGGCAGGCCUAACACAUGCAAGUCGGACGAGUGGCGGACGGGUGAGUAAUGUCUGGGGAACUGCCCGAUGGAGGGGGAUAACUACUGGAAACGGUAGCUAAUACCGCAUACCAUCGGAUGUACCCAUAUGGGAUUAGCUAGUAGGUGGGGUAACGGCUCACCUAGGCGACGAUCCCUAGCUGGUCUGAGAGGAUGACCAGCCACACUGGAACUGAGACACGGCCCAGACUCCUACGGGAGGCAGCAGUGGGGAAUAUUGCACAAUGGGCGCAAGCCUGAUGCAGCCAUGCCGCGUGGAUGAAGAAGGCCUUCGGGUUGUAAAGUACUUUCAGUGGGGAGGCGUUACCGACAGAAGAAGCACCGGCUAACUCCGUGCCAGCCGCCGCGGUAAUAC
rnacentral:rRNA from 1 species